GCACCACAAGGGGUGAAGCCUGCGGUUCAAUUGGAGUCAACGCCAGAAAUCUUACCCGAAGAGACAGCAGAAUGAAGGUCAAGCUGGAGACUUUACCAGACAAGCUGAGAAGUGGUGCAUGGCCGUCGCCAGCUCGUGCCGUGAGAUGUCCUGUUAAGUCAGGUAACGAGCGAGAUCCCUGCCUCUAGUUGCCACCAUUACUCUCCGGAGUAGUGGGGCGAAUUAGCGGGACCGCCGUAGUUAAUACGGAGGAAGGAAGGGGCCACGGCAGGUCAGUAUGCCCUGAAACUUUGGGGCCACACGCGGGCUGCAAUGGUAGUGACAAUGGGUCCCAAAUCCGAAAGGAGGAGGUAAUCCUCAAACGCUACCUCAGUUAUGACUGAGGGCUGUAACUCGCCCUCACGAAUAUGGAAUCCCUAGUAACUGCGUGUCAUUACCGCGCGGUGAAUACGUCCCUGCUCCUUGCACACACCGCCCGUCGUUUCAUUGAAGUUUGCUUUUAGCGAGGUGACGUCAUUUUGGCGUUAUCGAACUUGAGGUAAGCAACAAGGGAA
rnacentral:rRNA from 1 species